rnacentral:rRNA from 1 species
GACGAACGCUGGCGGCGUGCUUAACACAUGCAAGUCGAACGGAAAGGCCCUGCUUUUGUGGGGUGCUCGAGUGGCGAACGGGUGAGUAACACGUGAGUAACCUGCCCUUGACUUUGUGAUAACUUCAGGAAACUUGGGCUAAUACCGGAUAGGAGCUCCUGCUGCAUGGUGGGGGUUGGAAAGUUUCGGCGGUUGGGGAUGGACUCGCGGCUUAUCAGCUUGUUGGUGGGGUAGUGGCUUACCAAGGCUUUGACGGGUAGCCGGCCUGAGAGGGUGACCGGCGACAUUGGGACUGAGAUACGGCACAGAGUCCUACGGGAGGCAGCAGUGGGGAAUAUUGCACAAUGGGCGGAAGCCUGAUGCAGCAACGCCGCGUGCGGGAUGACGGCCUUCGGGUUGUAAACAGAUUUCGCCUGUGACGAAGAGUGAGUGACGGUAAUGGGUAAAGAAGCACCGGCUAACUACGUG